CUACGGGCCGCAGCAGGCGAGAAAACUUUACAAUGUGCGAAAGCACGACAAGGUUAAUCCGAGUGGUUUGUGCUAAACGAACCUUUUGACAGUCCUAGAAACACUGUUGAAUAAGGGGUGGGCAAGUUCUGGUGUCAGCCGCCGCGGUAAAACCAGCACCUCAAGUGGUCAGGAUGAUUAUUGGGCCUAAAGCAUCCGUAGCCGGCUCUGUAAGUUUUCGGUUAAAUCUGUACGCUCAACGUACAGGCUGCCGGGAAUACUGCAGAGCUAGGGAGUGGGAGAGGUAGACGGUAUUCGGUAGGAAGGGGUAAAAUCCUUUGAUCUAUUGAUGACCACCUGUGGCGAAGGCGGUCUACCAGAACACGUCCGACGGUGAGGGAUGAAAGCUGGGGGAGCAAACCGGAUUAGAUACCCCCGUAGUC
rnacentral:rRNA from 1 species